rnacentral:rRNA from 1 species
CUUGACUGUAUCCUGGAAUUGGGUUCGGGCUUUUCUUGCGCAGUCUAGGUGGGAGGCUAUGAAGAUUUCCUUCCGGGGAAGUUGGAGCCAUCAGUGAGAGACCACUCUGGAGAGGCUAGAAUCCUAAUGGUGAUCCUUGAAUCAGGACACUUGACAGUUUCAGGUGGGCAGUUUUUCUGGGGCGGAAGCCUCAUAAAGGGUAACUGAGGCGCGCAAAGGUCCCCUCAGUCUGGACGGAAAUCAGACAACGAGUGUAAAGGCAAAAGGGGGCUUGACUGCAAGACCUACAAGUCGAGCAGGAGCGAAAGCUGGCCUUAGUGAUCCGACGGUACCGUGUGGAAGGGCCGUCGCUCAACGAAUAAAAGUUA